rnacentral:rRNA from 1 species
GACAGAGGCCUCAAGCGUUAGGCGGAAUCACUGGGCUUAAAGCGUGUGUAGGCGGGUCGUUAAGUACCUUGUGAAAUCCCACGGCUCACCCGUGGAACUGCUGGGUAUACUGGGCGAUCUUGGGCCAACUAGGGGCAACUGGAACAAGCGGUGGAGCGGUGAAAUGCGUAGAUAUCGCUUGGAACGCCAAAGGGUGAAAACAGGUUGCUGGGGUUGUGCCGACG